UUUGCAUUUAGUGAUAAAUGGUGCCAGAAUUUAUGAUAAAUUAAACUGCAAAGGACCAUGUUAAAGUUAUCUUAAGGGUUUCAAUUAAACAAUGUUUCACUUUUGAUCUGGAGACUGUGAUGAAGUAUAAUCAGACUUGAAGCCUGAUACUUUUUAUAUGUUCAGUUUUUCUGUAGGCACAUUUAUAAAUGGAUAAUUCUUUUGAGAUUCUUCUUGUUCAGUCUCAGUGUUUUUUGUUCUCUUUUUCACAGUGAAUUGCAAAAUGCCAUUUAACUUCAAAGUUGCUAAUCGUACAACUGCCCAGCUACCCACCCUUUUAUUGACUGCCUUUCCUUGGGUUUUUGUUUCACCAGCCAGAUUCUCACCUUGCUGCACAUUCUUUCAACUUGGCCAUCAAUCUAUAAAGCGGAGAAAACUUUCUAAGUCCUGAUGCCUCUAGUAGCAUUUUACUUUCCACUUUUUUCCAUCCUCAGAGAAAAGCUCUAUCUGAAAUGUCUGAAGUGGCUGUUGACGGUGUCUUCACUGCUGCUCCAUGGAACCCUUUUUUUUUUUUUGAAUACUAUCAUCUAAAAUCUCCUGAAGUCCAGGAAAGUCUUGUCAGACUGUUUCAGCAAUGUUUGUAUUUAUUUGCUUCGGUGUCUGUCUCUCCCUUCCUACCUCUGUCCUCUAUUUUUUCAUUUCUAAUUUGUGACAGUGAAGUUUUUGGAAAUAUUUUUAUGGUAGGCACACAAGGACACACGAGUAAACAUGAACAUAUUUUGGUUUGCUUUCUACAUCCUAAUUUUUGGAAACUACUGGUGUUUUUGACCACAUAAUUAUUUAAUAUAUCAUAUUUAUUUAACUUAAAAUGUCUGUAUGUUUGUAAUCUAUAUAUGUAUAAAGUUUAUAUACACUUACACACAUAAAAAACACAUACUUAUAUGGUUCUCCUAAAAUAAAUUUGUAUAUAUAUGUGUGUUUCUUUUGUUGCAGGAAAAAUAUAAUUUUACUCAAAAUUAAUCGUGUCUAGUAUAUACCAAGAAAGUGCUUCA
rnacentral:lncRNA from 1 species